rnacentral:rRNA from 1 species
UCGAAACCUCUGCAAGAGCAGAAUGACCCGCGAACUCGUGAUAAUACUCGUGGGGGGCGUGCUUCGCGGCCGCUCCCCCAUCCAUGUCUCUCCGUGGGUGCGGGACUCGUCCCGUUCCCCGCGGGAGCGAACAACGAACCCCCGGCGCGGACUGCGCCAAGGAAAUCUAACGAGAGAGCACGCUCCCGGGGCCCCAGACACGGCGCACUCCGGGAUGCGGCGUCUUCUUUCACUGUAUCUAUAACGACUCUCGGCAACGGAUAUCUCGGCUCUCGCAUCGAUGAAGAACGUAGCGAAAUGCGAUACUUGGUGUGAAUUGCAGAAUCCCGUGAACCAUCGAGUCUUUGAACGCAAGUUGCGCCCUAAGCCUUUAGGCCGAGGGCACGUCUGCCUGGGUGUCACGCAUUGUUGCCCCACCCCACCCCCGCUCUGGGGGCCUGGAGGUACGGGCGGAUAAUGGCCUCCCGUGAGCUCUCCGCUCGCGGUUGGCCCAAAUUUGAGUCCCCGGCGACCGGAGCCGUGACGAUCGGUGGUGAACACAAACCUCUCGAGCUCACGUCGCGUCCCCGGCUCUCCGUUCCCGGACUCAGUGACCCUGACUGUCCGCGCAAGCGGUGCUCGUAUC